rnacentral:rRNA from 1 species
UACGUAGGUGACAAGCGUUAUCCGGAAUUACUGGGCGUAAAGCGCACGCAGGCGGCGCAUUAAGUCUGACGUGAAAUCUCCUGGCUUAACUGGGAGGGGUCGUUGGAGACUGAUGUGCUUGAGGCGAUGAGAGGGGUGUAGAAUUCCCGGUGUAGUGGUGGAAUGCGUAGAUAUCGGGAGGAAUACCAGUGGCGAAAGCGACACCCUGGCAUUAGCCUGACGCUCAUGUGCGAAGGCGUGGGGAGCGAACGGG